CUUUUUUUGAAAUUAAACUCGUUCUUGAUGUUGAUACUGUAAACGCCAUCUUGUGCUUGUUAGGAUUGUUGACUAAAAUUAUCUGAGUUGUUAUUAAGCCAAUUAUUCUGGUUAUUUUGGUUUUCUUGUAAAUUUGUUUACCUCGAAUGUUCAUUUUUAAAAAUUCAAGGUAAUCUGAUUACUCAUUUAGUUAGAAUUAAUUUCUUAAAUUAUUGACAGAUGACGUCUUUGUUAUUAGCUUUUUUCUGGUUUUGAUGGUGACAUCUAUUGGAUCAUGUUACUGUAAAAUCUGAUUCUUGUUGUUUAUUAUUACUUCAGCGAGUAUUGAUUGUCUUUAUUUUAUCCAGUUUUGGCGUUAAUUGGCAACCUUUCGUCUUGUUUUGCAUUCAUUUUUGAUUAUUAUUCUAUCGGAUCACAUUUUAUCUCUUUCUAUUUCUCUUUAAUUGACCCCAAUCUGGUAAUAAUCUUAUCCUGUUUUUGCUGUUAACUCACAAUUCCAAUGGACUCAGUUGUCAGUAGUUCAAUACCUAGUUCCACUUUGAUUCAAGAAAUAGCUCCGACUCCAAGUACCAGUCGAGAAGGUGGUGAUGAUCAAGCUCCUUUGGUUCAGUUGAAACUAGCCAAGCCUAAAAAAAGAAAAAAGGUCACAUGGGGAUCGGAGACUGUCGAUAAUGAACUGUUGGGUAAAAAAUCCUCUAAAUGCUGCUGUAUUUGGGAUAAACCGAAAGAAUUUGGUGAAAGCUCAGAUGAGGAAGAUGACGAUGAUGAAUGUAAAAAUUGUUAUGGACACAAGCAACGCAAAUGAACAUACGCUGUAUUUCCAAUCAUCCAUAUUGUGUGUAUAUUUAUCUACUUGAAAGGAACUCCAGUUCGGAUGUUUUUUCGUCUCUCUUACAAUUUGUGCUGUCAUCUUUAUCAACCUUAUCCAUUCACUUAUAAUCAAGCAAUCAAUCAACUGUGGUUUCUCUAUUUUUCUAUUCAAAAAAGACAAUCCCUCUUAAACUUGCUUAUUCACAUAAUUCAACAAACAGUCAAAUAGAUUUUUGAAUAAAUUGUAUAGCAGGUAAUCAUUAUAUUCAAAGCAAUCAUCACGAAGAAAAAUGAUUAACCUGGUCCAAGUCUCUAAUUUGUGAAUGAUAUUGGUUAUUUCAAUGUUAAAAAUGGAAUUUGUUUUCUUCUUCUUCUCCCUUUUCAAGUUAAAGAAGAGCAUUAUAAAGUCACAUUUAUUUAAAA